rnacentral:rRNA from 1 species
GACGAACGCUGGCGGCGUGCCUAAUACAUGCAAGUCGAGCGGACUUGAUGAGGAGCUUGCUCCUCUGAAGGUUAGCGGCGGACGGGUGAGUAACACGUAGGCAACCUGCCUGUAAGACUGGGAUAACUACCGGAAACGGUAGCUAAUACCGGAUAAUUUAUUUCUUCGCCUGGAGAGAUAAUGAAAGACGGAGCAAUCUGUCACUUACAGAUGGGCCUGCGGCGCAUUAGCUAGUUGGUGAGGUAACGGCUCACCAAGGCGACGAUGCGUAGCCGACCUGAGAGGGUGAACGGCCACACUGGGACUGAGACACGGCCCAGACUCCUACGGGAGGCAGCAGUAGGGAAUCUUCCGCAAUGGGCGAAAGCCUGACGGAGCAACGCCGCGUGAGUGAUGAAGGUUUUCGGGUUGUAAACCUCUUUCAGCAGGGACGAAGCGCAAGUGACGGUACCUGCAGAAGAAGCACCGGCCAACUACGUGCCAGCCGCCGCAGUAAUAC